rnacentral:rRNA from 1 species
CAUUACUGAGUUUACGCUCUAUAACCCUUUGUGAACAUACCUAUAACUGUUGCUUCGGCGGGUAGGGUCUCCGUGACCCUCCCGGCCUCCCGCCCCCGGGCGGGUCGGCGCCCGCCGGAGGAUAACCAAACUCUGAUUUAACGACGUUUCUUCUGAGUGGUACAAGCAAAUAAUCAAAACUUUUAACAACGGAUCUCUUGGUUCUGGCAUCGAUGAAGAACGCAGCGAAAUGCGAUAAGUAAUGUGAAUUGCAGAAUUCAGUGAAUCAUCGAAUCUUUGAACGCACAUUGCGCCCGCCAGCAUUCUGGCGGGCAUGCCUGUUCGAGCGUCAUUUCAACCCUCAAGCUCUGCUUGGUGUUGGGGCCCUACAGCUGAUGUAGGCCCUCAAAGGUAGUGGCGGACCCUCCCGGAGCCUCCUUUGCGUAGUAACUUUACGUCUCGCACUGGGAUCCGGAGGGACUCUUGCCGUAAAACCCCCCAAUUUUCCAAAGGUUGACCUCGGAUCAGGUAGGAAUACCCGCUGAACUUAAGCAUAUC